AUUGAACGCUGGCGGCAUGCUUUACACAUGCAAGUCGAACGGUAACAGGCCUUCGGGUGCUGACGAGUGGCGAACGGGUGCGUAAUGCAUCGGAACGUACACAGUGGCGGGGGAUAACGCAGCGAAAGCUGUGCUAAUACCGCAUGUGAUCUGAGGUUGAGAGCGGGGGACCGAGCAGCAAUGAUUGGCCUCGCGCCUUUGGAGCGGCCGAUGUCGGAUUAGCUAGUUGGUGGGGUAAAGGACUACCAAGGCGACGAUCCGUAGCUGGUCUGAGCGGACGGCCAGCCACCCGGGGACUGAGGCACGGCCCCGACUCCUACGGGGGGCAACAGGGGGGAAUUUUGGACAAUGGGGGGAAGGCUGAUCGAGCAAAGCCGCGGGCGGGGAGAAGGCCUUCGGGUUGGUAAACGCUUUUGGCAGGAGCGAAACAAUGUCCGCUGAUACCGGGCGCUAAUGACGGUACCUGCAGAAUAAGCACCGGCUAACUACGUG
rnacentral:rRNA from 1 species